ACCCGCACAAGCGGUGGAUUAUGUGGAUUAAUUCGAUGCAACGCGAAAACCUUACCUACCCUUGACAUGUCCUGAAGCCUGGAGAGAUCCGGGUGUGCCCGAAAGGGAACGGGAACACAGGUGCUGCAUGGCUGUCGUCAGCUCGUGUCGUGAGAUGUUGGGUUAAGUCCCGCAACGAGCGCAACCCUUGUCAUUAGUUGCUACAUUUGGUUGGGCACUCUAAUGAGACUGCCGGUGACAAACCGGAGGAAGGUGGGGAUGACGUCAAGUCCUCAUGGCCCUUAUGGGUAGGGCUUCACACGUAAUACAAUGGCGCGUACAGAGGGUUGCCAAGCCGCGAGGUGGAGCCAAUCCCAGAAAGCGCGUCGUAGUCCGGAUUGCAGUCUGCAACUCGACUGCAUGAAGUCGGAAUCGCUAGUAAUCGCGGAUCAGCAUGUCGCGGUGAAUACGUUCCCGGGUCUU
rnacentral:rRNA from 1 species